rnacentral:rRNA from 1 species
CUCUCCACUAAUGCAGACUGUCAUGUUUGGACUUUGGAAUCUUCUUGCAAAUACUAUGUUAAACCUUUUUAUAAAAUGAUCAAUUUUCGUGCGAUCUCCUUUGAGAUAAAAGAUUCUAUUUGGAAAAUUAAAGUUCAUCCAAAUAUUCAUGUCUUCUCAUGGCUGAUGUUUAAUAACAAAAGUUUAACUAGAGAUAACCUCGCUAAAAGAAGGCAUGUUGAAGAUAUGACUUGUGUCUUUUGUAGUGAACUCGAAACUAUACAACACCUCCUAUUUGACUGUAUUGUUGCUAAAGAGAUUUGGACUAUUAUUGUUGAAUGCUUUAACAUUUCGAUACCUGUUUCUUUCACAUCGUUAUCUUACUACUGGAAGAGAAAAAAUGUUGUGAAGCCCUCAAUACUGCUACUUCUGCUACCUUGUGGAGCUUAUGGCUUUUGUGCAAUGAUUUUGUCUUUCUGGGGAGAAGAUGGCGAAGAAGUAUACGCUGUGUUUUGGAUCUGGUGGGGGCGAUGA